rnacentral:misc_RNA from 1 species
UUGACUGUUUUUUUUUUAUAACUCAGAAGGUUUUGCGCUGGAAAUAUAGAAGGGUCUUUAACUGCCGGCGGGCACCAAUGGCCUGGGGGCUCCCCCGGAGCCGCCCGCCGAGGCAGGAUAGGUAAGGUUCACAGUGGGUUUUAGAGUAUAACUCGGUAAUGAUCCCUCCGCUGGUUCACCAACGGAGA